CCUACGGGAGGCAGCAGUAAGGAAUAUUGGACAAUGCCCGCAAGGGUGAUCCAGCCAUGCCGCGUGCAGGAAGAAGGCCCUAUGGGUCGUAAACUGCUUUUACACCGGAGAAAACCUCCCUUCGUGAAGGGAGCUGAUAGUAUGGUGAGAAUAAGCAUCGGCUAACUUCGUGCCAGCAGCCGCGGUAAGACGAAGGAUGCAAGCGUUAUCCGGAUUCAUUGGGCUUAAAGGGAGCGUAGGUGGACUGAUAAGUCAGUGGUGAAAUCUUCGAGCUUAACUCGGAAAUUGCCAUUGAUACUGUUAGUCUUGAGUACAGUUGCUGUGGGCGGAAUAUGACAUGUAGUGGUGAAAUACAUAGAGAUGUCAGUAGAACACCGAUUGCGAAGGCAGCUCACAAAGCUGUAACUGACACUGAGGCUCGAAAGUGCGGGGAUCAAACAGGAUUAGAUACCCUGGUAGUCCGCACUGUAAACGAUGAUUACUCGCUGCUAGAGGGCAACUUUUAGUGGCUUAGCGAAAGCGAUAAGUAAUCCACCUGGGGAGUACGCCGGCAACGGUGAAACUCAAAUGAAUUGACGGCNGAGAGNGCGAGGACGACACGAGGGGAGGAG
rnacentral:rRNA from 1 species